AUAUCCAUGUAACAUUUAAAAUUUAUUUCCGCUAUCAAAGGACCCUGGUAUUCCGUAGGCCAACGAAGGCCCAAGCCCAAACCUUCCCAAAACCCUUUCCCCGUUCUGGUCUUUCUCUCCCGUCUCCGAGCGCUGCCACCGCCCGCCGCCAGCGCCGGCGCGCGAGAAACAAGAGGAAGAAGAAGCCAACCGAUCCAGCAGCGAUGGCAGUCGGGGGCCUGUUGGGGGGCGCUUUCUGGGCGACGCGGGCGCUGGAGGUGGUCAAGCGGAACGAUUCCCCGGGCCUGCUGUGGAAGCGCAUCAAGCUCACGACCACCCGCAAGAACAACGCCAAGAAGCGCCUUAAGCGGCUCUGGCAGAAUGAGGCGGUUAUAAGGGCUUGUGGUGAAUCAGAAUCCAGAUCAGCGUCUAACGUGGCUUCCACCACUGAGAAACAACAGUAGCCUUUGACUAUUUCCCCCAGUUUGCUGUCAUCAGAUUGAAAGCCAAGUGCGUGUAUAAAUCUUACUUUCUUCAACAUCAUUCGUUGCUACCAUAUGCAACCUUGCCCCCUCCCGAACUCCGGCGUUAUUUUUAUUUCACUGUUUUCAUGUUACUUCUGGAAAAACUACUUGGGAUUGUUUUCUUUCCUCAAUUAUUCUGCAUAUGCUGAUUGAUAUUGCCUGCGGUAAUGUAAUGCAUUGCACCCGUUGCUGUCGCUGGCAUGAGCUUGCCACCAUUUUUUGAAGCUUGCAAUCAAUUGACAUGUGGUGUGUUGUGUACUAGUUACGUGCCGUACGCAGCGUAC